rnacentral:misc_RNA from 1 species
AAGUCGUAACAAGGUCUCCGUAGGUGAACCUGCGGAGGGAUCAUUACCGAGUGAGGGUGGUAAAACACCCGACCUCCCAACCCUUUGUACAUCAACCUCUGUUGCCUCGGGGGCGACCCGGCCGUGCGCGGUAGGGGCCCCCGGUGGUCCAAUCAACCAAACUCUGCAUCUCUGCGUCUGAGUAUUACAGUAAAUCAAUUAAAACUUUCAACAACGGAUCUCUUGGUUCCA